UACGUAGGGGGCUAGCGUUGUCCGGAUUUACUGGGCGUAAAGGGUGAGUAGGCGGUAAUGUGUGUCAGAUGUUUAAUCUAUGAGCUCAACUCAUAUCAGCAUUUGAAACUACAUAACUUGAGUGCAGGAGGGGUAAGUGGAAUUCCUAGUGUAGCGGUGAAAUGCGUAGAUAUUAGGAGGAACACCAGUGGCGAAGGCGACUUACUGGACUGUAACUGACGCUGAGUCACGAAAGCGUGGGGAGCGAACAGG
rnacentral:rRNA from 1 species